rnacentral:rRNA from 1 species
CCCUUAGAUGUUCUGGGCCGCACGCGCGCUACACUGACGAAUGCAACGAGCUUAUAACCUUGGCCGAAAGGUCUGGGUAAUCUCCAAAUUUCGUCGUGAUGGGGAUAGAUUAUUGCAAUUAUUAAUCUUCAACGAGGAAUGCCUAGUAAGCGCAAGUCAUCAGCUUGCGUUGAUUACGUCCCUGCCCUUUGUACACACCGCCCGUCGCUCCUACCGAUUGAGUGGUCCGGUGAAGCGUUCGGACCGUGGCCUUUGGACGGUUCGCCGUCUGUUGGCUGCGGGAAGUUCGUUAAACCUUAUCAUUUAGAGGAAGGAGAAGUCGUANCA